UACGUAGGUGGCAAGCGUUGUCCGGAUUUAUUGGGUUUAAAGGGUGCGUAGGCGGCUUUAUAAGUCAGUGCUGAAAUAUCCCGGCUUAACCGGGAGGGUGGCAUUGAUACUGUAGGGCUUGAGUAAAGUUGAGGUUGGCGGAAUUGACGGUGUAGCGGUGAAAUGCUUAGAUAUCGUAAGGAAGACCAGUGGCGAAGGCGGGUCUCUGGACAGUUCCUGACGCUGAGGCACGAAGGUCAGGGGAGCAAACGGG
rnacentral:rRNA from 1 species